rnacentral:rRNA from 1 species
UACAGAGGUCUCAAGCGUUGUUCGGAUUCAUUGGGCGUAAAGGGUGCGUAGGCGGCGCGGUAAGUCGGGUGUGAAAUCUCGGAGCUUAACUCCGAAACUGCAUUCGAUACUGCCGUGCUUGAGGACUGGAGAGGAGACUGGAUUCAUGGUGUAGCAGUGAAAUGCGUAGAGAGCAUGAGGAAGACCAGUGGCGAAGGCGGGUCUCUGGACAGUUCCUGACACUGAGGCACGAAG